rnacentral:rRNA from 1 species
AUGAACGCUGGCGGCGUGCCUCAUACAUGCAAGUCGAGCGAACGGACGAGAAGCUUGCUUCUCUGAUGUUAGCGGCGGACGGGUGAGUAACACGUGGAUAACCUACCUAUAAGACUGGGAUAACUUCGGGAAACCGGAGCUAAUACCGGAUAAUAUUUUGAACCGCAUGGUUCAAAAGUGAAAGACGGUCUUGCUGUCACUUAUAGAUGGAUCCGCGCUGCAUUAGCUAGUUGGUAAGGUAACGGCUUACCAAGGCAACGAUGCAUAGCCGACCUGAGAGGGUGAUCGGCCACACUGGAACUGAGACACGGUCCAGACUCCUACGGGAGGCAGCAGUAGGGAAUCUUCCGCAAUGGGCGAAAGCCUGACGGAGCAACGCCGCGUGAGUGAUGAAGGUCUUCGGAUCGUAAAACUCUGUUAUUAGGGAAGAACAUAUGUGUAAGUAACUGUGCACAUCUUGACGGUACCUAAGCAGAAAGCCACGGCUAACUACGU